GAACCGGUAAAGUGCCCUGGCUUUUGUAGGGGUGCUCGAGUGGCGAACGGGUGAGUACCACGUGAGUAACCUGCCCUUGACUUUGGGAUAACUUCAGGAAACUGGGGCUAAUACCGGAUAGGAGCUCCUGCUGCAUGGUGGGGGUUGGAAAGUUUCGGCGGUUGGGGAUGGACUCGCGGCUUAUCUUCUUGUUGGUGGGGUAGUGGCUUACCAAGGCUUUGACGGGUAGCCGGCCUGAGAGGGUGACCGGCCACAUUGGGACUGAGAUACGGCCCAUACUCCUACGGGAGGCAGCAGUGGGGAAUAUUGCACAAUGGGCGGAAGCCUGAUGCAGCAACGCCGUCUGCGGGAUGACGGCCUUCGGGUUGUAAACCGCUUUCGCCUGUGACCAAGCGUGAGUGACGGUUAUGGGUAAAGAAGCACCGGCUAACUACGUG
rnacentral:rRNA from 1 species